rnacentral:tRNA from 1 species
UCUAUUUUGGCAGAUAAGUGCAAUGGAUUUAGGAUUCAUGUAUGUAAAGUUUAAUUUACAGAUAGAA